AUUUGUGGAACUGGGUGGGUAUAAUUUGCGGAACGGGGUGGGUAUAAUUUGUGGAACGGGGUGGGUAUAAUUUGUGGAACGUUCCAACAGGAAUCUGUUCCAAGAGCUUUGUAAAGUACAAGGAUGUCAACAAACAACCCAUUCAAAGUAGCACGAUCACUUCACAUAGCUGUUUAUUGUAUAUGGGUCUGAAACAAUAACACGAGAAGUCAUAAAAGUUGUAGUAUAAAGCUUCUCGUACUAGACACAAGUACAUUAUUCUAAUUAAGGCAUCUCGACAACUAUAGUUGUAAAUGUUGGGUGGCAAUUUGUGUAUCCAUUAACUUGUUGUUAUGCAAUGUGAGUGUGUGACUGCUUUCACUUUCUCUAGAUCAAACCUAUGUCUGGCUGUCUGCAUGACUGGCUGUGUUUCGCAGGGAUCUGACUAAUGGCCUCUUCCUCUGUCCUCCCUCCUACCACAGCCCAUCUCUGACCAGUGUCUUCCACCACACCAGUGACUCAGACUGGGACCAGUCCCACUGACCACCACCACCCUGUGCUGGUGCUAGUUCAGUCCUGCCCUGCUGUUGAGGAGGAGGCAUGUCCUACUGGUCAGUCGGCCUCUCCAAGGCCACUGGAGACAUACAGAGCAACAACAUGGAGGAACAAGAGAAACACGAUCUUGAACAAGAUGGUUCUUUGGCAGUGGAGGACAUGGGAGCCAAGGCAUCUGCGAUGGGCAGCGGUGGAGCCUCCUCUCUGGGUCCGUCUCCAACCCUGGAGAACAUCCAGGCAGCGUACGGGGAAGGGGAGAGCAGCAGGGCCCGGGAGCUGAUCCAGCAAGCCUGCCGUGUGGAGUGUAGUGCAGCUAGUCCUCGGCUGGAGGGGGUGAGUGGAACAGAGGGGGUGAGUGGAACAGAGAGAGACAGACCUGUCUCGAAAAGACACGCAUGCACACGCACACAAAAUCCGAGACGGAUCUGUCUCACAUACACACCUUCAUAUCCUUGCACGCACAAACAUUGUCACACACACACUAAAUGAGAGCGCUUGCUGUGUGGAGGCCAUUGUGUUUCUAGCCUAAUGCAGAUAUGUGCUGUAUAAUGUGUGAUGUGUGUUACAGAGAUUGUUUUGGUGUGACUGUAACCAUCUAAUGUGUCAUAUGCUCCUGGUGUGGGACAACAACAUGUUUACAUUCAUUUAC
rnacentral:lncRNA from 1 species